rnacentral:lncRNA from 1 species
AUCAGGAAAAACAAAACAAAACAAAGCAAAACAGCCAAGACACACAAACACAGUCUUUGGCGGGGGGUCCCAGACGAAGUGGUGGCCUCAUCAUAUUUUCCAUCGGUUCUUUCUGCUCUGAGCUGGGAAGCAGUCGUGUCAACAGCAGGUCAGCUUCACCCUUCCUCCUCCAAAGCCCAAAGCCAAGCUGCCACCAGAGUCAGUCAUCCUGCUGUGGCAAAAAGCGGUCAGGGGCUAGUUCCAGAGUCAUCUGAGUUUACGCAUAGGAACUUCCAUGAACAGAAACACUCCAACCAACAGUCAAAGAGGAUAGAAAAAGUUCUACUUAGAAUUUGCCCAUGGAUCAAAACCCUAACCUACAAUUCUAGUAAGGAAACCAGGAUCUCCAAGAGUAGAUGCAUUUUCAGGGACUUUUAAAGAAUUCCAUGUGACAGGCAGCAUGGAACAGAGUUCUGCAGACAUGCGCCAAGAACUGCACCCCCCUUAGUGGGCAGGUUCCUGCAAUCCACAGACACCUGAGGUCGAAAAUGAUAAUGAAGAUACCUGGUUUUUGGCAACCUGAAAAUUUUCUUCAAAGAAAGGUAAUUAGAGCCAAAUUACCAACAUGUUCUCUUUCCCUUCUUUUGCAAAUCAAAAAAUACAAAUAAAUUUCAUAGGCAAUUCCUCAUGUAAUGUUUAGUCCAAAUGGUCAAAGGUAGAACUUUUAAUUUCAUAAGCCCAAAAUCAUGAAACACCAACAGUUAGCAUACAUAUGAGAAAACAAUGACAAAGACAAGAGAACUUUUUUUUUUCAGGCCACAAAUAAUAAUGGAGAGUUAUAUAUGCAUCAGAAGUAGUAAUAAUAAAAUAAUAAUUAGCAUUAAGUUCAAAACUUCUGGGAAAGCUAUUUUGGAUUACAGGAUGUAUUAUUUACCUCAGAAUGUGCAAGCUUAAAACUCUAAUUGUCAAAGUUAUCCCCCAACACACACCAAAAAGAUUUAUAUACAGGCUUAAGUCCAGAAAUUAAGGUUCAAAGUAGAAAUACUGAUAAUUUCAACAAAAUUCAGAAUGGUUUCAGAAAGAUGGUACAAUUUAGAAUAAAAACCAGAAGACCAUCAUUAUAUUGCUUUGUGGUAUACAUAGGUUACCAUGUUUUUUUCUCUUCAGGAUCCUUUUCUUUCUCUUGAGGAAUAAGCUAAAAUUUGAUUACUUUCAUUUAAAGAAGUUUUUAGAUGGGAUCAACAAAUUUAAGAAGUCAGAGUAGAGUUAAUAGACAUGUAUAUAUGUAUGUUUCUAUAUGUGUACAUACAUACAUAUAUGUACACCUCACCUUCUUCCAUUUGUAAUUUAAGGAGGGAAGCACACCCCACAAAGACCUCCAGGUAGCCACCCUCAUUUGGUUUUAGCAGAUGACUUGAGUGAUUCACCAACUAUUAGAGUAACUGACCUCUUCCCUAUUAAACUUUUCCUGGGGAAAAAGUUUCCGCCAUUCCUAAUGCUAAGACUUGGCCCAUCUCAUUUGCUGGGAAAGCAAGAGCCUAGUACAACUUUUCACAAGAGCCAAAAUCUGGAAACAAGUAAUAGAAGACUGCAUAAGAGAGGUAAGGACCAAGAAUGCAGAUAAGUGUAUUUGAAACAACUGUUCAGAACUACUUAGAUUCUGUGUUGUUUAUUAUAGUCCAAAUACAUGAAG